rnacentral:rRNA from 1 species
CCUGACGCAGCGACGCCGCGUGAGUGAUGAAGGUCUUCGGAUUGUAAAGCUCUGUUAAUCGGGACGAAAGAGCCUAGUGUGAAUAAUGCUAGGAAGUGACGGUACCGGAAUAGAAAGCCACGGCUAACUACGUGCCAGCAGCCGCGGUAAUACGUAGGUGGCAAGCGUUGUCCGGAAUUAUUGGGCGUAAAGCGCGCGCAGGCGGAUCUGCCAGUCUGUCUUAAAAGUUCGGGGCUUAACCCCGUGAUGGGAUGGAAACUACAGAUCUAGAGUAUCGGAGAGGAAAGUGGAAUUCCUAGUGUAGCGGUGAAAUGCGUAGAUAUUAGGAAGAACACCAGUGGCGAAGGCGACUUUCUGGACGAAAACUGACGCUGAGGCGCGAAAGCCAGGGGAGCGAACGGGAUUAGAUACCCCGGUAGUCCUGGCCGUAAACGAUGGGUACUAGGUGUAGGAGGUAUCGACCCCUUCUGUGCCGCAGUUAACGCAAUAAGUACCCCGCCUGGGGAGUACGACCGCAAGGUUGAAACUCAAAGGAAUUGACGG